UGGACGCUACUGCAGGGUGCUGUGGCCUGUAGAUGUUGCUGGUUUCCUACCUGUGUGGAUUCUCUCUUGCCCUAGUUUUAGGCAAGACAGGGUUUCAAGGUACCCAUCUGCAAAGACUUCUAGGGCCUGGAAAUUAAGCGUCCUUGUUUGUUUUACUGGAGACAGCAGGCCUGCCUCCUCCUCUCCCCCACUUAAGAGCAGAAGGGACCAGUCAGAAGAAUCUCUUUGUUGCCAGACAAGAGGUCCAUGAGGUCGACAACCUGGUCUCCUACAACCAGUCUAUACAGCCUGGAGUCACAUGAUAGUGCUGGCAGAACUGCCCGUCACAGUUCAGAUAAAAGAUGAGAUGUCAAUUGCUCAGCUUCAUCAGGUGUCCUUAAGAGAGUGAUACAUCCUUAAAGAAAGCAAGAGGAGGGGAGAAGAGAAGCCCAAAUGCACCUUUCUGAGAAGGGAAUCUUCCAUCACCAAGAUGUGGCAGCAUCCCAGACUAGGUACCUUGAAAUGGGAUUCAAACAGGAGGCAAAGAAGACAGAUACAGAUGAUGCUGAGCUAUAGGACCACCAUCUUUCCUUACCCUCCGUUAAUGCCGACAAACUGAAGAUUCUUUUUUGCACCAUUGGAAUCUUUGUUCCCAUCUUUCUUCUUCAUGAUGGACUUCAGCGUAUUUUCGUUAUUUGUACAUACUAUAAAAAAGUGAAUUGAGGUGAUCAAAAUUAAUAUAACUUGAAUUCACACCAAUUCCAUUGGAAAAGUAUGUGCAUGCAAAGACAAUAACUCAAAGUUCCAUUAAAAACGUCCUUUAAACAGGGGGUGGGGACUAUUAGUACUUUGAGACAUCACAAAACAGUGACAACUGGCAUUUUUAUCAGGCUCAUUUUUGCUUUGAUAAUCUUAAAGACUAGGCCUUCUUUCCAACCAUCUGCAUGAUCUUUUCUUCCAGGUCAACUUGUAAGGUACAGUGUCAUUCAGUUGGAAUGUCCCUAGGGACCUGAUGUCAAGGCCCCUGAGAAGACUCACCAUAUAG